rnacentral:rRNA from 1 species
UACGUAGGGGGCAAGCGUUGUCCGGAAUCAUUGGGCGUAAAGAGCUCGUAGGCGGUUUGUCGCGUCUGCCGUGAAAGUCCGGGGCUCAACUCCGGAUCUGCGGUGGGUACGGGCAGACUAGAGUGAUGUAGGGGAGACUGGAAUUCCUGGUGUAGCGGUGAAAUGCGCAGAUAUCAGGAGGAACACCGAUGGCGAAGGCAGGUCUCUGGGCAUUAACUGACGCUGAGGAGCGAAAGCUGGGGAGCGAACAGG